CCCAUUCCUAGUUUCCUUUUGAAGAAUAUUGCAAAUUACUACAAAUCUGAAAUUUUAAAAUUUUACCUUUUUAAAGUGAAGCUAUGUCUAGAUCCUUAGCCUAGCAGCUCAGGAAAUAAUGGUAUGUUCAGACCUGAGCUGAUGCCAUCAAUGAAAAGAUAACAUACAAUUUCAGAAAAUUACACAUUAAGUCCCAGAUCCUAUGCUAGCUCAACCCAUUGUAUUAAUAAGUUUACAAAUAUUGAGUUAAAUUUUAGUUUUCUAGUCUCUCCAGAAGAAUUAUAUUCCUUAUUAAUUCCUCAAUAGGAAUUACCAUUUGUUUCACUGAAAGUUCAGUCAAGCCAUUUAGUAAACAACCAUCCUCCCACAAAAAUAUUAGAUUCUGAUGUAGAGUGAAAUAAACAGAAUCUGGAAAACAUUAUACACAGUGACUGAAACCUUGUGGGACAAUCAAAUGUGAUAGACUUUGCUACUAACAGCAAUGCAAUGAUCCAGGGCAGUUCUGAGGGACUGAUGAAAAAGAAUGCUACCCACAUUUGGAAAAAAGAAUUGUUGGAGAGGAUAUGCAGAUGAAAAUAUGAUUUAUCACUUGUUUAUUUGGGUAUAGGAUUUGGGGUUUUGGUUCUAUACAAAAAGGAAUAAUAUGUUAAUGUGUUUGGUGUGAAAAUCCAUGUAUAAUACAGUUGAUUUGCUUGUCAACUGGGUAGGGGAAGGGGAGGGAGACUACAUGAAUCAUGUAACUUAAGAAAACUUAUGUGUAAAUUUGUUAUUGGAAUAAAAUAAAGAUAAAUUUUAAUUGUAAAAAUAUUAGAUUCUCAGAUGAAAGUGAAACCUAUUCUCUCCUUCCUGAACUUGGGAGGUUACUUCCUAAACAAUUAAAAAUAACCCAGAACCUUCCCAGAUUCAACCUAUUCUUCUAGAACCUCAGGAGAAAAAACUACAAUUUGCAGAUUAUUUUAUACGGAGAUUAUCAAAUUUCCUUCAUCAAAAGGCAAUGCUUUUACAAGAGAGAAUAAAACAUCAUUAUACCACCCAAGAUUCUACUUUCUAAGAAGGAACUCCCAAGACAGCUUCGGAAAUCUCCCACACUCUGGCUAAAAGUCUUCAAAAGAACGAGAAUGAAUGGACUGAGACGGAGGAGAUGCUAAAGGAAGGAUCAAAGCUGCAGAGAGGCCAGGAUACUGACAAGAUGUGGAGAGCCAGAGAAAGGUAGGGAUGGGAGGAGCUGGCUGGCUUUCUUUUUCCUGCUUUUUUAUCCUAGGGUUUUUUGUAUUAUUAGAAAAAAAAAUUUUAAUUAGGUUGUGAACUUGUAGAGCAAUGUUUAAAACAAAACGUUCAUUGCUUUGUUGCAGGCUUAGCUCUCCAAAAGGAUUUCUAAACGCUAUGUAAUAAGAAAUUUGAAAAUGUAUACUAUAGAUAGUGGGUAGAUAGGUAAACACCCCGAUGGUAGACAGACAGACAGAUAGAUAGAUAGAUAGAUAGAUAGAUAGAUAGAUAGAUAGAUAGAUAGAUAGAUAGAUAGAGAUAGAUAGACAGACAUACAGACAGACAGACAGAUACAUAGAUACAUAGAAAUACAGACAGACAGGCAGACAGAUACAUAUAUUCAUACAUAGAUACAUAGAUAAGACAGAUAGAAGAUAGAUAGAUAGAUGAUAGAAAAGAUGGAUAGAUAGAUAGGUGAUAGAAGGAUGGAUGUAUAGAUUUAUGUAGAUAUAUUUAUACAUAAAUAUAUAAAUCUAGUUAUAGAUUAUUAAA
ensembl:lncRNA